GGGGAAUUAGCUCAGAUGGUAGAGCACUCACUUUGCAUGUGAGAGGCAGUGGGAUUAGUGCCCACAUUCUCCA
rnacentral:tRNA from 1 species